rnacentral:misc_RNA from 1 species
GAUGAAGAACGCAGCGAAAUGCGAUACGUAGUGUGAAUUGCAGAAAACCGUGAACCAUCGAAUCUUUGAACGCAUAUUGCGCUCGAGCCUUCGGGCAAGAGCAUGUCUGCCUCAGCGUCGGGUUAAUACUCGCCCUCUGACUCCCUUUGUGGAGUGUAAGAGAGCGGAACUGGUAGUCCCAGCUCCUCACCGAGCUGGGUCUGCUGAAGCACAGAGGUUGAUGUAUGGACCCGUUAUGGGCCGCAACUGGGUAGGCAAUUCGUUGCUAAUUCUUAGUUAUUGGCUUGGGCUGUGCUGUCGACCCUCAACCAGGAAUAACUAUAUUAACCUAUUUUCUCGACCUGAGCUCAGGCAAGGUUACCCGCUGAACUUAAGCAUAUCAAUAAGCGGAGGA